rnacentral:rRNA from 1 species
AUUGAACGCUGGCGGCAGGCCUAACACAUGCAAGUCGAGCGAGCGGCGGACGGGGGAGGAAUGUCUGGGAAACUGCCUGAUGGAGGGGGAUAACUACAGGAAACGGUAGCUAAUACAGCAUACCAUCAGAUGUGCCCAGAUGGGAUUAGCUAGUAGGUGGGGUAACGGCUCACCUAGGCGACGAUACCUAGCGGGUCUGAGAGGAGGACCAGCAACACUGUAACUGAGCCACGGUCCUGACUCCUACGGGAGGCAGCAGUGGGGAAUAUUGCACAAUGUGCGCAAGCCUGCUGCAGCCAUGCCGCGUGUGUGAAGAAGGCCUUCGGGUUGUAAAGCACUUUCAGCGGGGAGGCGUUACCCGCAGAAGAAGCACCGGCUAACUCCGUGCCAGCAGCCGCGGUAAUUC